rnacentral:rRNA from 1 species
UACGGAGGGUGCGAGCGUUAAUCGGAAUUACUGGGCGUAAAGGGUGCGUAGGUGGUUAGAUAAGUUAGCUGUGAAAUUCCUGGGCUCAACCUGGGACGGUCAGCUAAGACUGUUUGACUCGAGUAUGGGAGAGGGUAGUGGAAUUUCCGGUGUAGCGGUGAAAUGCGUAGAGAUCGGAAGGAACACCAGUGGCGAAGGCGGCUACCUGGCCUAAUACUGACACUGAAGCACGAAAGCGUGGGGAGCAAACAGGAUUAGAUACCCUGGUAGUCCACGCUGUAAACGAUGUCAACUAGCCGUUGGUCAUAUGAAUAUGAUUAGUGGCGCAGCUAACGCGAUAAGUUGACCGCCUGGGGAGUACGGUCGCAAGAUUAAA